rnacentral:ncRNA from 2 species
CGAUGUCGAGCGGGAGAGUCCCCGGAAGGGGCGCCGAAGGAGCAACUCCUCCCCGGAAUCUCUCAGGCACAGCUACCGCCCGACGCAG